AUGCAUCGGUUUAAGAUAUACAAAAUUCAAAUGUGUAAAUACGCAUUGAUAAACAAGUGUGACAGAGGAGAGAAUUGUACUUUUGCUCAUGACAUAAGUGAGUUAAGAAUAAAACCAGAUAUGCGGAAAACAAAGUUAUGUAAAAGUUAUAUUAUGGGCAAAUGUACUGAUUAUAGUUGUAUAUAUGCACAUUCUAUUGAAGAGUUGAGGAAAGUUGGGAAGCCAGCUAUUUGUCAGUUACAUAGAGAAGGAAGGUGUAUAAAAGGCAAUCAGUGUAGGUUUGCACAUUCCAUUACCGAUAUAAAUACUAAAUUAGUACAGUACUAUGAUAGAAUAGGGAAUUUAACCGAUGAAGAAAUGAGUAUGUUAGAAUUAAAAAGUUAUUUACAUAAUAAGCCCACUGCUAUUAGUAAUUGUAUAGGGAUUAGUAGUGGUACUACAACAAGCGAUAUUGAAUAUUCCACCAUAAAUAAUUUAUUAGGAUAUAGUGAAAUAAAUAAUGGAAAAAUUAAUACAGAACUUCAAAAUAAAAUAGAAAAAAAAAAAUUGGAACUGAAACAACUUAACCAUGAGAACAUAAAUGGCAAUUAUGAUAAUGGUCAUAUGGUUAAUAAUAAUUUUAAAGCUAGUAUCACAUGUAAUAAUAAUAAUAGUAAUCUUGGUUUUGGUAUGUAUGACAGUAACAAUAACAACAACAACAACAACAACAACAACAACAACAACAACAACAANNNNNNNNNNAACAACAACAACAACAACAACAACAACAACAACAACAACAACAACAACAAUAACAACAGUAACAACAAUAACACACAGAAUUUCGGUAUUACGAAUUUAGUUCUUAAACAAAGUAAUAAUAGUAAUUUUUUAAAUGGUAAUAUAAACAAUAUUUGUAAAAAAAAAAAAAAUAUUUUUAUGGGAGUAAAUAAAACUAAUAUAAAUUCUAAAGAUACAAAAUUAUGUGUAAUUAACACAAAUUUAAAGAAUACACAUGCAGGACCUUCAUCUGUUUCGUCUUUGUCUCCUUCUUCAUCUUACGAAUAUGACAGUUUGAUAAAAAACAACUUGCAAUAUAAUAACAACUGUAAUGUUUUUAGUUGUACUGGUAACAGUAGUAGUAGUAAUAGUAGCAGCAAUGGUAAUAAUAAAAUUGUUAGUAAUUGUAAUAGUAACAAUAGUAAUAAUUGUUAUAAUAAUAUGAAAACAGGAAGUUUAUCACAUGAACAUGUUCAUAAUUUUAAUAAUAUAAAAAACGAUUACCAACAGUGUAUAUUUUUUAAUGAUUCUGUAUAUAUGAAUCCACAAAAAACAUCCAGUGUUUUUCCUUUUUUAACUUGUAAUAGUAUUAAGCAGGUAGGAAAUGUCAGAGCUAGUGCUAAAAAUAGUGGUAUUAAAAGUAGUGGUACUAAAGGUAGUGGUACAAAAAAUAGUGGUAAUAUAGGUAGUGGUAAUAUAGGUAGUGGUAACAUAAGUAGUGGUAACAUAAGUAGUAGUAACAUAAGUAGUGGUAACAGAGAUAGUGGCAAUAGUGACAAUAGUAGUAACUAUCCCUUGCAAAAAGAAAAUGUGAACAAUCCUAACAACUGUAUAAAAAAAAUUGCACACUCUGAAAAAAACGAAUUUUCAAAUACAUGUGGACUUAUUAAAGGUAAAGAAAAAAAUGAAAAUAUUUUACCUAUACAUGCAAGUAAUGAUUAUAUUAAAAAUGGGUUGUUAACAUUUAGCUCUACACAUAUGGAUGAUAUUUCUACUGAGAAUAGUACUGCUAAUGUUGGUUCUGGUGCAGUACAUAUGGAUAAAAAAGAAAAAAAAAUUAACAAAAUAAAUAAUUUAUUUUUGAAUAAUAAUAAUUUUAAUGAAAAUAAUUUGCAAUAUUCAAAUAAUUAUGUAGAUAUAAAAAAAAAUAUGAAUAGUAAUGGUUGUGGAACGAAUAAUGGUUGUGGAACGAAUAAUGGUUGUGGAACGAAUAAUGGCUAUGUGGUUGUACCUAUGAUAAAUAAUAAUGGGUUGUUAAAAAGUAGUGAGAAUAUUGAUGAAGGUAAUAUAUAUGAUAAUUUGAAAGAUUCUGUUUGUGAUAGUAAUGAGAAAAACGGUUAUAAUGAGAAUCAGCAGAAAAGUGUAUUAUCAAGUGAUAUGUGUAUUGGCAUACAAAAUAAGACUAUUAAUAAUAAUAAUAAUAAUAAUAAGACUAAUAAUAAUAAUAAUAAUAAGACUAAUAAUAAUAAGACUAAUAAUAAUAAUAAUAAGACUAAUAAUAAUAAUAAUGGCAUGUAUUAUGUUGAGAAUACAACAUGUAAUAGUAGUGAUAGCACUUAUCUGUACAAUAAUAAAAAUAAUAAUAAAAUGUGUAACAAACCAUUAAAUAAUAAUAACACAAUAAAUGAAAAAAGUUUUUUUAAUAAUUAUGGCAUUAUAAAAUUAAACAAUAGUAAUGUUGAGUAUAUAAAUUCGAAUAUAAAAACUGAUGGAAAAGAAAAAGAAAUUAAUAAAAAUUUGAAUAAAACAAAUAUAAAUUACCAAAUAAAUGAUACAGUUAGUAACAAUACGAUAAAUAUUAAUAAUCCGUUUGAAAAAAGAAUAAUUGAGGAGAAUGAUAAAACUGAAGGGGUAAAGACAAUUACAAACAAUAAAGAGAACAAAACAAAACAAGAACAGAUAAAUUAUAUUUUAACAGAAAUAGAAGAAAAAGAAAAGAUUGGACAGGUUGAUGAUUGUAUUAAUAUAAAUAAGGAUAUGUUUAUUAAAAGUAAUGUUAAUGUAUAUGCACAAGUAAGUAAUGGCGAUAUAGCAAAGAGUCAGAACGGAAUGGAAAUAAACAAUAGUAGUGGUGGUAGUGGUAAAAACAGUGAUGACAAUAUUAAUAACAACAACAGUGGAAAUGACCUUGGAAAUAACAGUGGAAAUGACCUUGGAAAUAACAGUGGAAAUAACAGUGAAAAUAACAGUGGAAAUAACAAUAAUAAUUAUGAACAAGUCAUAAAAAAAACAAUUUUUAAUAACGAAUUAGAUUAUGUUAAAGACGAAACUGUGAGCAGUGAUAUGUUUCAAAGCAAUGAUUCAUUUGUUGUACAAAAUAAAAAUGAUAAGAACAAAAUUGGUUGUAGUGGUAGUGGUUGUAGUGGUAGCAGUGGUAGUGGUUGUAGUGGUAGCAGUGGUAUUGGUUGUAGUGGUAGCAGUGGUAGUGGUUGUAGUGGUAGCAGUGGUAGCAGUGGUAGUGGUAAUAAUGUAUGCUAUAUUGCCACAAAUAAAAAUGAAAGUUGUAAUAAUACGUAUACAGAGGAAAAGGAAAAAUGUGAUGUGAAGCGGAUUGACAUCGUACAUGUUGGAAAAACACAAAUCGAAGUAACACAAACAAGAAAUAAAAAAGGUAAUCCAAAAGAAAAAACACAUUACAAUAUACAUUAUAUGAAUAAUACAUGUAGUAAUAAUACCAUUUUUAAUACUAAUUCCAUUUCAAUGAAUAAUAAAAACGAUGAAGGUUUGACGAUGUAUGCAGGUGCUGGUAUAAGUGGUAAUACUUGUGAUGGUAUAUGUAAUGGUCAGAUAUGCAAUGAUAAUAUAAUAGCAUAUCCAAAUGAACAAUUACAUACUAAACAAUUUAGUCUUGACGAUUUUUCAAAUUUUUACAAUAAUAAAAAUAAAACAAGAUGUAUAAUACCAUGUAAUAAACAGUAUUUACACGAUAGUAGUAUCAAUAAUGUCAUAUUUUGUAAAAAAAAAAGUGAUGGUUUAACAAUAAAUACAAAUAUUGCUUAUAAUAAAAUGGACAUAUUUAAUAAAAAUAAAAAGGAUUGUAAUAUAAUACAUAACAACAGUAAUAACAAUAAUAACAAUAAUAACAAUAAUAACAGUAAUAACAAUAAUAACAAUAAUAUUAAUAACAACAGUAAUAACAAUAAUAUUAAUAAUAACAAUUAUAUUAAUAAUAAAGGGAUACAUAUAAAUAAUUAUACUAAAUUAGUUAAUGCAAAAGAUUGUUCGAAUGGUAAUAAAUGUAGCAGUAAUAAUAAUAGUAGUAAUAGUAAUUAUGUUUUUAAUAAAUGUACCUGUAAUAACUACAUCCAUAAUAACAAUCAGUUAAUAAAUAAAAAUGAAGAAUUAACAUGCACAAAUACAAGUUACAAUAAUUUGGUCAAAGUAUUUUCAACUAAUACAAAAAUAAAUAAUAAAAAUGCAUUAAAUUUAUUACAAGGUCAAGUAACUAAAAAUAUAGAGUGCAUAAAACCAACUACAAAAAAUAUAACAGAAAUGAAAAUAAAUAAUAUAAGUAAUGGACAAAUAGAUAUGCAUACAAAUACGAUUAUAAAAUCAAAAGAAAAUAUGAACAUAUAUGGGAAUAAUCAUACAAAUAUAAAUAAUAAAAUUAACAAUAAAAAUAAUUACUUUAAUAAUAGUAGCUUUCUUACUAAACUAAUAAAUGAAAAUAAUAAUAAAAAACAAAAUAUAAAAAAUGACUAUAUAAAUGAAAGUUUUUGUUUUAUUCCUAAUAAUAACGAAUAUGAGCAAGUAGUUAAAUCGUUAAUACCUUCACAGAUUUGUAAAAGUGUCACUACAACUAACAAUGUAUUAAAUGUUUUUGAUAAUAAAAGUGAUAGACAUCCAUGCAGUGAUAAUAAUAUGUUAAACAAUUUAACAAAUAAAUUAUAUGAUGAAUAUAUAAAUGAAUUUAAUUAUUUUAAAAAUAAAAAAGAACAAACAGAGGGAACAGAGCAAAAAGAAGAAAGAGGGCAAACAAAACAAACAGAACAAACAGAACAAAAAGAACAAACAGAACAAAAAGAACAAACAGAACAAAAAGAGAAAACAGAAGAAAAAGAGAAAACAGAAAACAUGUAUUUAUAUGGAAAUUCUAAGUGUUUGUUAUUAAAAAAUAAAAAUGUAUAUAGUAAGGGUGAUAGCUAUUUUAAUAAUAUUAAUAAAAGUGAAAAUAAUAAUGGUGGUUUUACUAUUGCUGUUAAUAGUGAUACAAAUAGUAAUGAUGGUAAUAUUAUCGAACGUAAUAAAAUAAAUGGUAAUAAUUUUGUAAAUGAUAAAAAUAAAUACGAUGUUAAUAAAAUUGUAAAUGCAAUAAAAUUACGAAACUUAGAAUUUAUGCAAAUAAAUGGUAAUACAAAAAAUGGGACAUAUAUAAGAACAGAAGAACCGUACGAAAAAAAAAAUAAAAACGAAAGUUGCCUAAAUAACGUAUAUAAUAAAAUUGAAAGCGGAAAUAAUAGUUACAAUAAUAAUAGUAGUAAUAGUAAUAGUAAUAUUAGUCGGCAAAAGUUUAUGUAUGUUUUACCUAGCGAUAAAAACAAUAUUGAUGAUAAUUGUAUAUCGAAAGAAUACGACAUUUAUAGAAACAGUAAUAUUAAUUAUUAUUCAUGUAAUAACAAUAAUAAUGUAAGCCAUGUUAUUAAUUCAAACUUUAAUCUGUCGGACUCUGGUGUUUUUACCAAUAACGUCGGUAAUAGUAGUGGCAAUAACGUCGGUAAUAGUAGUGGCAAUAACAUCGGUAAUAGUAUUGGCAAUAAUGUGACUAGCUAUAACAGUAGCAAUAUAAUGGCUAAUAAAAACAAACCUAAUGUUAUAAACAGUUCAAAACAACAUUCUUUUUUUAAUAAUAUUAAUAAUGCGUUAAUUUAUAAUGAUGUAAAGGAUGGUGAACCUGAUCAAUCUGUUGAUAAUUUUGUUAACGAGUCUAAUGUUAAUGAGCUUAAUAGUAAUAUUAUGUUAUAUGAUAAAAAAAAUUAUACUCUUAAUAAGGAAAAAGAAAAAUUAUUUUUUUUUAAUAAUAAAGAUAAUAUAAAUAAUAAAAAGAAUUUAAUAAAUAAUUUGCUCGUAAAUAAUGUUUAUAAAAUUGAUGCAAAUGUAAAUAAGACUUAUACUAGUGAUGCAUAUGCUACUGAUACGUAUGCUACUGAUACGUAUGCUACUGAUACGUAUGCUACUGAUACAUAUGUUACUGAUACGUAUGCUACUGAUGCAUAUGCUACUGAUGCAUAUGCUACUGAUACGUAUGCUACUGAUACAUAUGUUACUGAUACAUGUGAGAAUGACACAUAUAGUAACGAUGUAUAUGUCAACGAUGCAUAUAUAACCAAUGCUUAUACAAAGGGUCUUUAUACAAAUGGUGUUUUUAAUCAUGAUGGAAGCACAGAUACACAUACAGACACACAUACAUAUGUAUACACAGACACAUACCCUGAUACAUACACUGAUUCUUGUACCGAUACAUAUAUUGAUUCAUACAUUGAUGGGUACACCAAUGCAUCCUCUAAUACAUAUCCUAAAAGAAAUGUAAAAAUACAAAACAACAAUAAUAAUAAUAACAUAAAUAAUAAUAAUAACAUAAAUAAUAAUAAUAACAUAAAUAAAAGUGAGCUAAAAUUUUAUGAUUAUAUAAAAGAUAGAUUUAAUUUUUUUGAUUCAUUUGAAGACAAUCAUACCACACUCACAUCUUCAAAUUCGCCUUUUUAUAAUUAUAAUUUAUUAAAAAAAUGUGGAAAAAAAUAAAGUAGACAAUUUAAUGUGUAACAGUAAAACAUAUAAUAUAGGAAUGAGCAAAGACAAUGUUAUUUAUAGUAAUAGAAACAGUAACCAUGUCAGUAAUCAUAUCGGUAACCAUGUCAGUAAUAGAAACAGUAACCAUAACAGUAACCAUAUCAUUAACCAUAACAGUAACCAUACCAGUAACCAUACCAGUAACCAUAACAGUAACAACAACAAAAACGACUUCAUUAUGAGUGAAGACGAUGAUUCCUUAUUUUUAGAAUACGAAAACAAUAUGAAUUUUAAUUUCUUGAAUAGGAUUGAUUGAUUAAUUGAUUGAUUGAUUAAUUGAUUGAUUAAUUGAUUGAUUGAUUAAUUGAUUGAUUGAUUAAUUGAUUGAUUAAUUGGUUGAUUGAUUGAUUAGUUUUGCAGAGGAUAGAAAUAUAAACAAGCCACUUACUUUAUAGCCACUUACUUUUAUAGUCUUUUAUUUUAUAGCUUUUAUUUAUUUAUUUAUUUAUUUUAUUUUAUUUUUUUUAUUUUUUUACUUAUUCUUUAAGUACGCACAUCUAUAUGUUCGUGCGCAUGUACAUACACAUACAUGUAAUGUGCGUGGUUUUAUUAAUUUAUUAUUUAUUAUUUAUUAUUUAUUAUUUAUUAUUUAUUAUUUANNNNNNNNNNAUUUAUUAUUUAUUAUUUAUUAUUUAUUAUUUAUUAUUUAUUAUUUAUUAUUUAGUAAUUUUUUAUUUUACAUUAUUUAGCAAUUUUCUAUUUUUUAUUUAUCAAUUUGUCAAUUUGUUAAUUUAUCAAUUUGUCAAUUUGUUAAAACAUUAUUACUUGUUAAUAUAUUUACUUCUUAAUAUUAUCACUUUUUAACAUAUUUACUUGUUAAUAUUAUGACUUGUUAAUAUAUUUAUUUAUUUAUUCAUUUAUUUAUUUAUUAAUCUUUUUAAUGUUGGUUCAUUUUUAUGAACACUCGUCAUAGUACAUACACAUUCAACAUUAGUUUACUACAUUUUAUAAAACAGAAAUAAUUAUUUAUUUUAUUAAUUAAAAAAAUAUAUAUGUUGCAAAAAAAAAAUUAACAAAUUAGCGAAUUAAUUAGCACGCCAAUUAACAAAAAAAAAAAAAAAAAAUAAAAAUAAAAUAAAAAUAAAAAUAAAAUAAAAA
rnacentral:lncRNA from 1 species